GAAGAAGCAUUCGACUGUUCAUUGACAGACUGAACAUGCACGCACUUGCCUGGCACUUUAUUGACGUCGGUGACCAUAACCAGCACCGAGUUUGGAGCUCCAGAUUAGGGGGCCUAUAAAAGAGCAAUCCAUUGGCAGUUGGUUCUUCACUGAAUCGGCCGCCAGUUCCGUUCCAUCACCACUUUGAAAAAUGAAAUUCCUCGCCUGCUUCGUCCUGGCUGUCGUCUGCUUCGUCGUUAUUGCGGAAUCGGCACAAACCUCAAAACCGGCGGCAUCUACCCGAAAACCGGCAGCUACUACACCAAAACCAAAGGCAACUACCCGAAAACCAGCUGCACCCACCUCAAAUAAACCAACUGCUGCACCUACCGCAAAACCAACUACCCGAAAACCAAAACCAACUACCCGAAAACCAACAGCAACUAGGCC